GAAGUUUCUGGUCGGACUCGGUAGUGAUUUUCACUUCGGACCUUUCCAUAUUAAUGAACAGAUCAGAAACAGGUGUGCGUUUGGAGCUUGCGUGUUUUAACUUGGCGUUUCAACACGAAACCAGCCACUUCACAGCCGACAAACAGGACUUCUAUCACAUACUUUAGAGCAACUUGUUGGGUUCAGAAUGUUUGUCUGUUUUUGUCUGGUCGUUUUUGUUGCCGUCGGUCGCUUUUUAGCCGCCGGACGUAUGAUAACCGGUCAGCCACUCGACGUCCCGGUAAACAGCACCAAGGUUUUGAACGCAGCACAGUUUGCUCUGGUUGAAUUCAACAGAGCCAACACAGAAGAGCAGUUCGACUACAAAAUUGUCAACAUAACAUCGGCGAAAAUUCAGGUAAAACCUUUCGAGUCAUUGUCGACCUAACUUCAGUCUGUAAACAAGCUUUAACUGUUUAUUUUUGAUGUGUUUUUAGGUGGUCGCGGGGGUAAAUUAUAUCCUUGACGUACAGCUUGGACGUACGUUGUGCAAGACUGACAGUUCCCUGUGUGUUUACCACACUCAACCCAAGGCAAGUUGAAGAGAUCAGGUGCUGGGAGAGGACGUGUAAUAUUGAGAAUAUAUUUGUAGAUCCCUUUCUGUUCAUCAAUGUGGAACAUUUUGUAAAGAUGCUCUAAUUUGCCAUUUAUUUCAGGAACUUCAGUGUCACUUCAUCGUUACUGAAGUCCCCUGGAGAAAUUUACGGACCCUUACUCAAAAGAAAUGUCACCCUCAUAUAAAUUGACUGAUUCUCUUAUUGCUGGUGGUACUAUUUCCUAGUAAACAUGUUUUUCUAAUCAUCUCUAUUACGUCAUCUUAAGUCUUUUUUUUUAUUGUGCUGCACAAACCCUGUUUUUUAUAUAUUUAAAAAACACACACAGGGGAACUCAUUGCUCUCUGAUAUGC